ACACACACACACAAACUGCUGCCCAUAGCAACUCCAGUGGCACCCGCACAAGGCUUAAUGUGACACUAACUCAUUCUGCAGAGAACAGGGUGUCCAGCCGCGCGCACACACACAGACACAGACACACACACACACAUAGUUGGUGCUGCAGGGAGGCUGUCACUAAGACCAGUCUCACUUUGAGGUAUCCAUUAUCUGAAGCUUAUUUAUUGUUUGUUUAUGUGCCUCUUUUGUUUGUUCUGUGUUUGCUGCUGCAGAGUCACUCCAGCCCUCCUUUCACCGUGGCUUUCAGACCCCUCACAUACUCCUUCGCUACCCUCUCUCUCUCCCUAUCCCUUCUUUCUCUAUGUUGCGCGAGCUCCUGGGGAGGGAUCGAUGACUGCCUUUCUGCACAGGCCACUCUGAAGCGGUCGAUCGCCUGGUGGCUCUGGCGGCUCUGCCGUGGAAGUGCGCUGUGUGCUUUGCCGAGGUGGCAGAGCGCCACUGAGAACAGCGUAGACGCCAUUCCAGAGCUGUGCUCAACGGUGGGCUGGUCGAUCAGGCACAGAGUUAAGUGCACCCCCAGAGAGUGAGGAUGGGGUUGGAGGGCUUAGACAGAGGAAGAGAAGGUGGAGGAAGAGGAGGAGGAGGAGGCUGGGAGCAGGGUGAGAUGCACUCUGAUUAGAGGGCCAGGUGUGUGGCAGGUGCAGCAGGUGCUUCUGGGUAUCAGGUUCUUGUUUCAGGGAGAGAUGUGUGAGAACACGCAUGCACAUGUGUGUCUUUGAGCGUAUGUGUGACGUUAGUGGAUGUAUCCACCUGAUCACUGUCACCUUGAAUCACCCAGCAGCAAAGCUCCGGACAAAGGAAAGAAGGUGAUUUUGGAUCUUGUGUCACUGGCUCGUGUUCUCACCUGUGAGCAGUACGAGGGCGGCCAGGCAGGCGAAGGCGG